CACGGAGGGGGCAAGCGCUAUUCGGAAUCACUGGGCGUAAAGAGCGCGUAGGCGGUCUCUUAAGUCAGAUGUGAAAGCCCGGGGCUCAACCCCGGAAGUGCAUUUGAAACUAAGUGACUUGAGUAUGGGAGAGGGAAGUGGAAUUCCUGGUGUAGCGGUGAAAUGCGUAGAUAUCAGGAGGAACACCGGUGGCGAUGGCGACUUCCUGGACCAAUACUGACGCUGAGGCGCGAAGGCGUGGGGAGCAAACAGG
rnacentral:rRNA from 1 species